rnacentral:rRNA from 1 species
GAUGAACGCUGGCGGCGUGCCUAAUACAUGCAAGUCGAGCGAAUGGAUUAGGAGCUUGCUCUUAUGAAAUUAGCGGCGGACGGGUGAGUAACACGUGGGUAACCUGCCCAUAAGACUGGGAUAACUCCGGGAAACCGGGGCUAAUACCGGAUAACAUUUUGAACCGCAUGGUUCGAAAUUGAAAGGCGGCUUCGGCUGUCACUUAUGGAUGGACCCGCGUCGCAUUAGCUAGGUGGUGAGGUAACGGCUCACCAAGGCAACGAUGCGUAGCCGACCUGAGAGGGUGAUCGGCCACACUGGGACUGAGACACGGCCCAGACUCCUACGGGAGGCAGCAGUAGGGAAUCUUCCGCAAUGGACGAAAGUCUGACGGAGCAACGCCGCGUGAGUGAUGAAGGCUUUCGGGUCGUAAAACUCUGUUGUUAGGGAAGAACAAGUGCUAGUUGAAUAAGCUGGCACCUUGACGGUACCUAACCAGAAAGCCACGGCUAACUACGUGCCAGCCGCCGCCGUAA